rnacentral:rRNA from 1 species
AACGAACGCUGGCGGCAUGCCUAACACAUGCAAGUCGAACGAGACCUUCGGGUCUAGUGGCGCACGGGUGCGUAACGCGUGGGAACCUGCCUUUAGGUUCGGAAUAACUCAGAGAAAUUUGAGCUAAUACCGGAUGAUGUCUUCGGACCAAAGAUUUAUCGCCUUUAGAUGGGCCCGCGUUGGAUUAGCUAGUUGGUGGGGUAAAGGCCUACCAAGGCGACGAUCCAUAGCUGGUCUGAGAGGAUGAUCAACCACACUGGGACUGAGACACGGCCCAGACUCCUACGGGAAGCAGCAGUGGGGAAUAUUGGACAAUGGGCGAAAGCCUGAUCCAGCAAUGCCGCGUGAGUGAUGAAGGCCUUAGGGUUGUAAAGCUCUUUUACCCGAGAUGAUAAUGACAGUAUCGGGAGAAUAAGCUCCGGCUAACUCCGUG